GUGGUAUGUUAAAAAUAUCAGUCAAUAUGACCCAAAGAACUUGUUUAUAAUUCAGUCAAUUUCUUUGGAAUAGAUGCAGAAAAGGUGGACACCUCAAUAUCAGUUUAAAUAUUGCAUCCUCCUAUGAGCGUCAAACGAAAUCCAACUUUCAGUAAUGGAUCUUAAUCUUAAGGCACAGCCUUGAUGCAAUCCUGUUUGUGAUCAAUUCA
rnacentral:lncRNA from 1 species